rnacentral:rRNA from 1 species
AACGAACGCUGGCGGCAUGCCUAACACAUGCAAGUCGAACGAGACCUUCGGGUCUAGUGGCGCACGGGUGCGUAACGCGUGGGAACCUGCCCUUAGGUUCGGAAUAACUCCCCGAAAGGGGUGCUAAUACCGGUUAAUGUCUUCGGACCAAAGAUUUAUCGCCUUUGGAUGGGCCCGCGUUGGAUUAGCUAGUUGGUAGGGUAAAAGCCUACCAAGGCGACGAUCCAUAGCUGGUCUGAGAGGAUGAUCAGCCACACUGGGACUGAGACACGGCCCAGACUCCUACGGGAGGCAGCAGUGGGGAAUAUUGGAAAAUGGGCGAAAGCCUGAUACAGCAAUGACGGGUGAGUGAUGAAGGGCUUAGGGUUGUAAAGCUCUUUUAACCGGGAUGAUAAUGACAGUACCGGGAGAAUAAGCACCGGCUAACUCCGUG